GGCCCUCGUAGUACAGUGGCUAGUAUAGGGGACUGUGGAUCCCCGGACAGGAGUUCGAUUCCCCUCGAGGGCCCAUA
rnacentral:tRNA from 1 species